rnacentral:rRNA from 1 species
UACGUAGGGUGCAAGCGUUAUCCGGAAUUUAUUUGGGCGUAAAGAGCUCGUAGGCGGGUUUUUGUCACGUCUGCUUGUGAAAAACUGGAGGCUCAAACCUCCAGCCUGCAGUGGGUACGGGGCAGACUAGAGUUGUUUGCAGGGGGAGACUUGGAAUUUCCUGGUGUAGCGGUUGAAAUUGCGCAGAUAUCAGGAGGAACACCGAUGGCGAAGGCAGCUCGCU